rnacentral:rRNA from 1 species
UACGUAGGGGGCAAGCGUUGUCCGGAAUCAUUGGGCGUAAAGCGCGCGUAGGCGGCCCGGUAAGUCCGCUGUAAAAGUCCAGGGCUCAACCCUGGAAAGCCGGUGGAUACUGUCGGGCUAGAGUCCGGAAGAGGCGAGUGGAAUUCCUGGUGUAGCGGUGGAAUGCGCAGAUAUCAGGAGGAACACCGGUGGCGAAGGCGGAUCUCUGGGCCGAUACUGACGCUGAGGAGCGAAAGCGUGGGGAGCGAACAGG